rnacentral:ncRNA from 1 species
ACGGUGGCACGAGUUUUUAUCGUUUCCUCGUCUUGGGUCCGUCCGAAGCCGAACGAUGUCAGGCUGGACCACACCGU